CCUGAUGGGGGAAAGCCUUUUAAAGUUUAUUCAAGGAAGAAAGGGAAGACCUAAGUAAACUUUAAGUAGGAUUAAUAUUAAUUAGAAUUGAAUAGGGAUUGGUAUUUGUUGGAGUCUAAUUAGGAUUAGCUAGUUGAGUUAUAAUAUAAUUAGAAUUUGAGUCAUGAUAGGUUAUUAGAGUCCUAGUAGACUUUGGAUUUCUUAGAGAAGCCUAUAAAUAGGCUAAUCAAUGUAAAUCAAAGGAA